GGCUCGAAGGAUGGCCUGCUUUCCCCGGCGUCUCCAGGAAGUAGUGGUGGGACCCAGAUCUUUCCCUCGAGCCCACCUCUCCAGGUCUUGGGCCUUCGCCCUCCUGUCCGGAGAACGUGUGCUGUGGGCGGCCGUUCUCUCGGGUGCUGGAGGCUGUGGUUGGGAGGCGGGAUAGGCUUGCCGCCGCGCCUCCGGAGCCCGCUGUGCCCUCGAAUUGGCCACUGAGGAGAGAAGCCGGAAGCCCGUGCUGCAGCGUGGGGUCGUCCAGCUGGAGGGGAUACUCGGGAGGAAGAACGGCAGGCCCCAGCCCUUCUUUCCCGACAGCCACGCCGCCCACUUGGCGGCGGGGAGUCGCUCCGCAGCCGGCCCGGAGCUCGCCCGUGCAACUGAAAACUGCGUCCGUCGGGAGCUAGGGUGCCUGGCGUCCCGCGUUCCGCCCUCUUGCGCCGCCCUUACAGUGCCUCCUCCUCGAGGCCAAAUGCCCGGCCGCUCAGCGCUCGUGGCAGCCGCGUAGUUGCAGAGACACGGUCUGCUUUCCAGGCUUGGGAAGUCCCAGCACUUAACUCUGCGCGUCGGUGUCGCUCGUUUGCCAGCCAGACUAUAAAGUGCACCCAACGGUGUAUGCGUCUCUUUACUUCCGGGUGUAACGUACUACCCAGCCAGGCCCUUUCCCUUGCUGUGCUUUGGAACCUGGAAAUUACAAACCCUAAUAAAUUCUGAAGUCUGUC
rnacentral:lncRNA from 1 species